rnacentral:tRNA from 1 species
UGGAGAGAUGGCUGAGUUCGGUUGAAAGCGCUCGACUCGAAAUCGAGUAAGGGGAGUAAAAUCUCUUUCGUGGGUUCAAAUCCCACUCUCUCCGU